UACGGAGUGUGCGAGCGUUACUCGGAAUCACUGGGCAUAAAGCGCGCGUAGGCGGGCUUUCAAGUCGGGUGUGAAAUCCCUCAGCUCAACUGAGGAACUGCAUCCGAAACUGUUUGUCUUGAGGACGGGAGGGGAGAGUGGAACUUCUGGUGGAGCGGUGAAAUGCGUAGAUAUCAGAAGGAACGCCGGUGGCGAAAGCGACUCUCUGGCCCGUAUCUGACGCUGAGGCGCGAAAGCUUGGGUAGCAAACGGG
rnacentral:rRNA from 1 species